GAUGAACGCUGGCGGCGUGCCUAAUACAUGCAAGUCGAACGCGAAAGGUCUGAAGCCUUCGGGCGGAGGGCCGAGUAGAGUGGCGAACGGGUGAGGAACACGUAGGUGACCUGCCCCGGAGAGGGGGAUAACCGUCGGAAACGGCGGCUAAUACCCCAUAAGCUCACGCGAGUUAGAGGGCGUGUGAGAAAAGCUCCGGCGCUCCGGGAGGGGCCUGCGGCCCAUCAGCUAGUUGGUAGGGUAAAGGCCUACCAAGGCGAAGACGGGUAGGGGGCCUGAGAGGGUGGUCCCCCACAUGGGAACUGAGACACGGUCCCAACUCCUACGGGAGGCAGCAGUAAGGAAUAUUGCACAAUGGGCGCAAGCCUGAUGCAGCAACGCCGCGUGCCCGAGGACGGCCUUCGGGUUGUAAAGGGCGUUUUCUUGGUCUGACGAGGAAGGACGGUAGGCCAGGAAUAAGCGUCGGCUAACUACGUG
rnacentral:rRNA from 1 species